GAUAUUCAAGAAUUUUACUGGGAUAAUUGUCCAAGUGAAAUUCUAAGAAUUUUAUCCAAAUGGGGUGAAGCAGCUGCAGCACUGGGGAAAAUGGGUCCUGGCUGCCUUAAAUAGCACCAAUCACCAUAAAGCAACGCGAGAAGCCUGAAGUCUACAGAUGCACGGCUGGUGGUGUGGCGCAGACGGAGCAAGGGUUACAUCAAGGCUGUUCUCUGGACCGUGCAAACAGUAGACCAAUGACCUGCAGCAUCAUGCCCUUUGAAGAAGAGGCAAGUUCGGUCAUGAUGAAGAAAAAUCAAGGCGUACCUCUUGUAACAAUAGGGAGCGGCUCGAGGCUGCAAAGAGGUAAGCAGGGGUAAGAAGAAAAACGGCAUCUGCUUCCAUGGUUACAGGCCAACUAUGAGAACCUUGCUUUUCAAGGGAGUCUGUUCUCAGGCUCCCUCGCGGGGUAUGUCAUGCAUUCUAAGCAA